CCAACUGUAGAGUAGAAAUCGGACUGGUUAUUUGUUUUUUUGUUGUGCAUUGUUUUCAAAUCUUCACAUUGGGAAAAAAAAAAUUGCUUCUGUUUGGGCAAUUCGUUCUGGUUAUUUUCAUUAACUGUGGGCUAUAUUGUUGGCAAGCUAUCACAUUGGCUAAGAUUUUGCUCUCUACGGAGAUGUCAUAACCUCCGUGCUUUGCAUCAUCAAGGCACAUGUGAGGGACUAAAAUAGGAACGCCCAUUCCCAGGCUAGAGUGUCUUUGAUCACUGGUGGAAGGACAAUGAAAUCAGACUCUGGAAAAGAGAUGAAGACCAAGACUAUUUGUCACUAAAGAGAUGGAGGAACGAAAAUUGGUGAUUCCUACAAAAUAAUUCUCUCCAGCAAUUGUGAGAAAAUAUUCACUACGACAACUCCAAUGGAGCGAAUUCUUCAUCAGCUUGAAUAUCACAAGCUCACUGCUUGCGCGCUGUGAUCUUUCUUCCAAUACUUUUUGUGACCUUUUCUCCUGAUUUUAAAAAAAAUGAUCUGCAAGGUUAGGCCUUGCUCAAAUAAGUGGCGUGCAAGAAGUGAAGUGUAUACUAUGAAACAUGAUCAGGAGAUAUGAUAGGGAUUCCAAUCUUCUUCGUUGUGUUGAAUAAUACAGGACGAUGUUGAGACUUUAAUCAGAUACCUUAAGAUUUUUACACGAGUUGGUUGCUUGACACGUUGGAUUGAUAGAAUUGCAUUUGCUCAUUGUAUUCGACUCUCUUAGGUGUUAAAUUGUUCAUCUGUGUUUUAAAUAUGGACUCUGUUGUUUUUAAUAGGAUCCCUUCCAUUGUGAUUCCGCAGCUUACUUGUAACAUAUAAAUGCACCUAACGGUGGGGUCGACAAUUUUUUAAAAAGUGUAUUAAGAUGAAAAUGUAUUAGUUCGGGUUUUACAGUGGAGUAAUAUGGGGUUUAAUUAACCAACAUUUUGUUUUCCUGUUGAUAUAAAACCUAUAUUAUUAGGCUGAUUUAUUAUGAGUGUAACAAUGGAAAAUUCUGUAUUUAAAUUGAAAGCUUUC